rnacentral:misc_RNA from 1 species
GAUGAAGAACGUAGCGAAAUGCGAUAAGUAGUGUGAAUUGCAGAAUUCAGUGAAUCAUCGAAUCUUUGAACGCACAUUGCGCCUCCUGGUAUUCCGGGAGGCAUGCCUGUUCGUGCGUCAUUAAAAUCACUCAAGCUUAGGUUUACCUAUUGCUUGGUCUUGGAGAUGGAAGCCAAUUUAUUGGAAUCCUCUUCGAAAUUCAAUGGCGAAGACCCUUGCUCUCCCAAGUGUAGUAAUAACUUAUGUCACUGAAGGAAGCGAGAAAUCUUCUGCCGUAACCCCCAUAUUUUCUAUGAUUGACCUCGGAUCAGGUAGGGAUACCCGCUGAACUUAAGCAUAUCAAUAAGCGGAGGA